UGAGCCAUUUUGGAUUUUAAUGAGGAAAAUCCUGAUGGUUUUUUUCUCAUCCCCCUUUUGUGUGAGUGUGUUAAUUUCGAGACAUUGGUUAUCUUACAGUGUAGGCUGGUGCCGGUUCUUCCUUUCUCACAUAAAGGCUUUCAGCACAUUAAUACUGCUAAUAAUACAGUAUUAACCUUGUUCUGAGAGCAAAAAGUCUAAACUUAUUCUGUGUCACUUUUCACCGUGACUGUUAAUGUGAUCUAGAAUACAGAUCUAACGUCUAGUUCAUGCAUUUUUGUCACCAUUUUAUUUCUUAACCUAUAGAAUUUGAUAUUUCCUGAAAUGGUAUUUUCUUUCAGUUUGACUUUUUAAAAAAAGAUUAAUUAAUUAAUUUGUUUUGUUUUUUGGCCGUGUUGGGUCUUUGUUGCUGUGCGCAGGUUUUCUCUAGUUGCGGCAAGCGGGGGCUACUCUUCUUUACUGUGUGCAGACUUAUUGUCGUGGCUUCUCGUUGCAGCACGUGGGCUCAGUAGUUGUGGCUCGUGAGCUCUAGAGCGCAGGCUCAGUAGCUGUGGUGCACGGGCUUAGUUGCUCCGCAGCAUGUGGGAUCUUCCCGGACCAGGGCUCAAACCAGUGUCCCCUGCACUGGCAGGCGGAUUCUUAACCACUGCACCACCAGGGAAGCCCCAGUUUGACUUUUGAUAAGACAGUUCAGAGAAAACAAAUCUUGAUAAAGAAAUAGAAAGAAGUAGGUAACUCACGACUUCACGAGGGCCCAGGUAACCCAUAACUACCUCUUUUCUGCUUUCACAUCAACUCCUGCCAUGACGGUUAAUUGAGAAGAGCAUCCUAGAGUUUUCACUUUUGCUGCUUCUUUGUAGCAGUGUAUGAAGUCUAGUUUUCCGCAGGAUAAAUCAGUGUUGGCCUCUUGAUGCCCCUACUGUCUGUGGAGCAGUGGGGAUGCCUUUCAUUCCAGCCAUAAGAGCAUCUUCUGAUUUUCUGUGUACAUUACAUGCAUGCCCUUCCUCUCCUUCCCAUCCAUCACGGUGGAAUGCUCCAGUCGCAGACUCUGAUGAGAAGGGUCAGAUGGGACACCUGUUGGACACACUGCUUUUGUCAAACCAUAACCAGAAAGAAAAUAAUUGAAAGAAGACAGACAACAAUUCAUUACUAAUUAUACAGCAGGGCCAUCUUGGCCUCAGAGGUACAGUUCCAACUAAGUAUAUUUGGAAACUAAGUAGUAGUAAAAAAAAGUUUAUGUUUACACAUUGGACAUAGCUCAUGUGUUCUGCGAGACUUCAGAAUUAUACGCCACCAAGGAGGCACUACAGGAGACCCGAAAUAAUUUCACUUUCCAUCAUGGGUAGCUUCGCUUUCAAAAUAAAAUCUCCCUAGUCAUGAUGUCACUUAAUUACUAAUUAAAGCAAUCGUAGUCCCAUCUUGUGAUGCUCUAAAAUCGUUAUUAUUAGAACCCUAAAUCUGACAGAAUUCACUGCCUGCCUUUGGGCUGAUGGCAGAGUCCUGAAAUCAACCACCAAAUCUGUCCUCGGAGGCAAACAGAGGUCCACUAACGACAGAUCCCCUUUUUGGGGUGGCCGCUGGGGACAGGCUGAUAGGUACAACACCCCAAAACAAACACUUCCUCUCCUCCAGACCCUCCCCCAUCCUCUGACCCAUCCCUUCCCAUGGUUAGGGCAUUUUGCUGAUACAAGUAGUUUGUGGCUUGUUUACGUAUGUUUUCACUGCAGCUUUUCGGAAACUCAGAGCUAAGUGUAGCGUUCGCGGGUAAUAAUUACUUCACAACAGCUUCCUCUGCUCCUUGAAGAUGGUCUCUCUUCUGCCUUGAUAUUUAAUUCUGUGUUACAUUCCGCAAGCGCUGGGGGGCUGCCAGGGCCUGGUUAGGAAUUGGCCUUCGUGCUUGGAAAGAAGAGAAGGGAAGCAGGACAAGCUGGUGGGGGAAGGUCUAGAGGGGCGAGGGAGCUGUGCAAUGAACGCUAUUUCCAAGUCUCCCCAGGACUAUCUCCAGUUCUUCCAAUAUGCCCUCCCCGUUCCCACGGCACCCCUUCAACUCCCCUACACAACUGCCCGCGCUCCUGCCCUCCGGGAUUACAUGUGGAGACAGCUAUCACCCUCCCUGCCGAGGGGCUGUCUUUUGUCCCUGAGGAAUCCUGGCUGGGCUGGACUGGGGCUGAAACUUAAAAUAAUGUGUGGUUUCAUUAUCGAGUUCUUCAACAGUUUUAUGUGUAUUCAGAAUGCGAGAUAAGGUGAGUAAAAUAACCCCUUGGCCAUAAUUCUUCUGAAACAACUGUUUUCAAAAUAUUGUUUUACCCAGAGGGUGCCACCUUCAAAUAGUUGAAGCAACUUCUAAAAGGGCCAGGCUGUCAACCUCGAAUUUAAUGCAUGAAUUGUACUUUAACCCUGCAAACAAGAUUCCCUCAAUCGCAAUUUUUUGCUUCAUGUCUGGGUCUCUUAGCUUUUCCCAAGUGUGGUCCAGAACUACUCGCUUUAGAAUCAUCUAGAAAUCUGUGGACUUGCUCCAGAACUACUCACUUAGAAAUUCUCCUGGUAGAACCUGAGUUUAACAGGCUCCCAAAAGAUACUUAGGCAACAUAAAGUUUGAGACCCGCUACAUUAGGAGUUGGCAAACACUUUCUAAGAAGGGCUAGACAGUAACUAUUUUAGGAUUUGUGGGCCAUACGUCUCUGUGACAACUACCCAACUCUGCUACAGGCAAUGCAUAAAUGGGAUGGCCAUUGGCUGCGUUCCAAUAAAAUUUUAUUUAAAUAAAUAAGUGGUGGGGUGUGUUUGGCCCUCAGGCUGUAGUUUGCCAACCCUGGCACUAGAUAGUGAGUUUAGACAGGGGAGACUGUAUUUACCUUGUUUGCCACUGCAAGAAAUCAGCUCGGUCUGUAUCAUAAAAUAGUCACUUGGUAAACACUGAUUGAGUACAUAAAUGAAUGGAUGCUUACAAAGGACAUUGACUUUUAAGGUUAUUUUAAAAUUUACAUAGAGUAAAAUUUAUUCUUUGUUAUUGAACUCAGGUUUGGCUGCUCCGUUGCUCAAGAAUCCAAUACUAAGAGAAGAGUGUUCCCUAAAAGGAAAGAAAGCUUUAUUGAGGAAGCUGGCACUGCUGGAGAGAAGACAAGAGGCAGACGGAGGACAUGGGGAGUGGUCUGUCAUGGGAAGGUCCCACAGGGUCCCGUUCCAUUACAUUUUUGGUGUCCAGUUCUAUGGGUUUCGGCAAAUGCGUAGAGUCACGUGACCACAAUUGAAAUCAAGACUAGAUGCUGGAGGAGCCUGAAACCCAGAACUUCCAACAGAAGCAGACAAGAAAAGCCCCAAGAAAAUCCCAGUUUUACUGGCCAAAAGACCGGGAAGGGGACAUCCCCGUAGGACAGAAAGGUUUUGACAGCACCCGCGCCCCAACCCAACCCAAUGCCACGACACCUCCUCCUCGCCCCACCCCGAGCUGUUGUCAGUGCAGCCUGAGCGGAGAGCGUGGACACCCACCCUGCUCCCCAGCCCUCGGUAUAUUGAGGACCCAGAGAAGUGCCCCCUUCCCUGCUGAUUCAGUGUCAGGGAAGACAGAGAGGGGACUCUGAGCUUCCCCCCUCCCCCACUUAGAGAGCGAGGGAGACUGUCAGACGAGAGGGAGCUGAAGAAAGGGGUCCUCUCCACUUCCAUGGAAAGUCCUAGGCAAACUCCAGACCACCUAAAUCUGAAACUGACCUGAACGAACGUGCCAGGACUCAGAGCUGGACCGCAGUGUGGAAAACCAGCCGGGCUUUCAGAGUGACCUCUGAGCUGCACACAAAGUUGACAGAAUGGCACGGCGAGGGCCCCAAUCCAAAUUGUUGUUGGAACUACAGCCCACAAAGAUCAGCCAGACGCCGUGCAUCAAACUUAGACUGGGUGACUGCUGCUAAAAUAGGAGAUUCAUAAAGGAUCUGAUCACCUGAUAUACCAGCCAGAUGUCCGGGGUGCAGGAGAAAAAUCACUUGUCAGAUCAAGGGCGUCUCUGGAAUGAUGCACCCGGGGUUGUGCACUGCACAGUCUUGCAUGGUGACACAAGUGGCCCUGAGAAAGGG